GCCCGAUUAGUUCAGCUGAAUGUCUGCCUACGGAGCAGAUGGUCGUAGGUUCGAAUCCUGCAUCGGGUA
rnacentral:tRNA from 1 species